rnacentral:rRNA from 1 species
AACGAACGCUGGCGGCAGGCCUAACACAUGCAAGUCGAACGCCGUAGCAAUACGGAGUGGCAGACGGGUGAGUAACACGUGGGAACGUACCUUUCGGUUCGGAAUAACUCAGGGAAACUUGAGCUAAUACCGGAUACGUGCGAGAGCAGAAAGAUUUAUCGCCGAAAGAUCGGCCCGCGUCCGAUUAGCUAGUUGGUGAGGUAAUGGCUCACCAAGGCGACGAUCGGUAGCUGGUCUGAGAGGAUGAUCAGCCACACUGGGACUGAGACACGGCCCAGACUCCUACGGGAGGCAGCAGUGGGGAAUAUUGGACAAUGGGCGCAAGCCUGAUCCAGCCAUGCCGCGUGAGUGAUGAAGGCCCUAGGGUUGUAAAGCUCUUUUGUCCGGGAAGAUAAUGACUGUACCGGAAGAAUAAGCCCCGGCUAACUACGUGCCAGCAGCCGCGGUAAU